rnacentral:tRNA from 1 species
GCAUCCGUAGCUCAAUGGUAGAGCAACUGACUUUUAAUCAGGAGGCUAUAGGUUCAAAUCCUAUCGGGUGCA